rnacentral:lncRNA from 1 species
GCUUUUCGGUUGAAGCUUGGUCAGGUUAACAAACAAGGGUCAUUUCUAAGGCCAUUGAAAACGAAAUUGCCGAUGCAAAAGAGACAUUCACUGUACACAUAUUCACACAUCUCGACUUCGUUCCAUUUGUUUCUUAUUUGAAACCUUCACAACUCUUAUUUCACAACUCAAUUUUUAUUUUUCACUAUUUUUCUUCCAAGCAAGCAUUCAUUUUCAUUCUUUCUAUUUUUGUUCUUUUCUUUCACAUCAUAUUUACAAAACAGAUGUUUCUUUUCUAUAUUUUUAUUUUCAAUGCUUGCUCGGUUUUUCUUUUCUUUUUCAAGAGUUGUGGUACUUACCGAUUCUCCCCAACUUAUUUCUUACUCACCCUAAGUGAAUGCUCUUAACUUUUUACGGCAAAAGAACAAUAAUCAAGAUUUUCCGGGUUGUAAAAAAAAGAUUUUUGAAAUCUCGCUUUAUUUCAAGCUGAGAUUCAACUGUUUAAGCUCAACGGGGUUAACGAAUACUCUCUCUGCUCACAGGUAAGUUGUUUU